AAGUGAGACUAGCUUCAUCACAAGACUGUGUCAGUCCCACCAAAUACUCAUGCAACAUUACUUGUGGACCUUAUGGUGGAAGUCUGGAUGUAGGCUUGGGCAUUUGUCACUGUGAGAUGUACGUCUCUGCGGAGGAGUUGUGUAACUCUUCAUGCUUGUCAGCGCUGCCUGUGCUAUCUGCCAGACUGACUCCAAAUGGACAGCUGGUGCUCAGGAUCAAAAUGAUGGAUGAAAACAGGAUCAGAAGCAGAAAUAUGAUGAACAUACUGGGGCCUGACAGUCAUAUCAACCGCUUCGGAAAGAUCCACUUUGUCCAGUUUUCUUCUGAUGGACUGUUUGGUUGGAUUUUAAAGGAUCCUGUGUUUAUUGACUUAUUUU